CUCUGCAUCCCCUCCCUUGCUGCACGCUCGAAUCUGUAACGUGUCUUCCCCUUCUCCUCUGUUUUCGCCAGACGUUGACGAGUGCGACUGGUUGGUGCCUUCCUCCAAGCUCUGGGCCCGAUGGCUGCUUGGAAGACCUCAUCAAGUGCGGCGAGGGUCAGGAGACACCGGCGCAGCGGUCACGUUUUGCUGCGUGUUCUGGAGGUAGCACUGAUGCUGGCGCUCCUGCUUCCCGCGACUUGCUCCAGCGCCUCACUCGCAGCGAAGGCGGUGGACGAUCAUCCUGUCACGGCGCAUGAGGACACGCACGUUCGGUCAGCACGGUUGGCGAGCGCAGCGGUAAAAGCGGCGUUGGAUGUGAAGGAAUUGAACGCGCAUGCGCUGCGCAGACAGAUGGUGCGCGAGAUGAACGAGCAGAAGUGGUACCUCCUCGACGGCGAUCAGCUGAUCCCUAGAGACGGCAAGAAGAUCGCACACCCGCGCCCGCGGCGCUUCGCACCGCUAACGGAGGCCCGUGAGGAAACCCUCGAGUGCGGGUCGUCAUCGCCACGAGGAGCACAGACCCGCGUCCACCCGGGUCUGAAUUCAACACCGGCUGGUGACCAUCAUCGUGGCCACGCCACUGUUCACGCGCCACAGAACGCAGCUCUCCUGAAGAAGCGCCACUGUCGUACCGAACGCUGUACACCAGCAGCCACCACGUCGCCCCAGAAACGCAAGGCAAUGGCAGACGGAGCCGUUGACAAUGCGGCCGCAACAUACGCUGGCGCGGAGCCGCCCCGCAUCCCUCUCGACUCCCUCCGUCUUGUGAUCCGCUUCGAGGAGGAGGCUGUCGCCGAGGACAAGGUCGAAGGCCACGAGCACGGCGUCGGCACGCAUGCCUCGCGGCAGCGUAGGGCGCCGCAUUACAGCCGGCGGUCGCGGGAGCAUUCGGCUCAUGGUCACAGUAGAGGUGGCCUGCACGGGCGCAGGCGCGCUGGCCACAGCCAUGUGCACCGCGGUCACGGUUUAUCGGUGCUCCUAAGACAGCCAGAACAAGGUGUGCGCAGCCUAGCCGCGGCACCGCAGCCGGUCAUUGAAGUAGCGGAUGCGGAGCACGACGCCAUCGAGCGUCGCAGCGAUGGCGUCGCCGCCGCGGUGCUCGUGUCCGCUGAUGCCAAAAGUGUCACAUCUACGACGCUGUCAGAAGAAGAUCUGCGGCGUCGCUGCCUCAUGGCUAACAGCCGGGACUCGAAGGCGGCUCUCAUGAGGGCGCUGCAGGAGGGCAGGUUGCGCGAAGACUGCCUGAUCGUGGCCGCCGAAGUAGGCAACGACAUCCCGAGUAACGAGAACAGUGCGAGGGGAGCCGUGGCGAUGAUGUCCCUGUUUGUGUCGACCCUCUUUGGAGCUUUUCUCUUCGCCUUCUGAUUCAACGGCGGAAUGCCGGGCAGAGGCGGUGAGGGGAGGGAGGGAGGGAGGGAGGGAGGAGGGGGAGGGCGUGCGCUCAUCUCUGCAUUCUUCAGCAUGCAUAGGUAUAUCCGUCUGUGCGUGGCUGUGCGUGCCUGUCUGCGCGUCCCAGAGGUGGGUGAUGUGCUUAUCGCCCUCUGCCCUUUUCGGCUCCCAUCCCCAGUAUGUCGAAUCCUCGCCCGGCAAGCACCAUGGCAUCUGUGCCUCUUUGCGUGAUGGGAAUGUCCCUCUUCUCGCGUGUGUCUUUUCUCCCUCUUCCGUGGCGAUGAUGCCGGCCACCUCACCCCGCAAUAUCACGCGGCCCAGUGCCCUCCCCUCCUCUUCCCACUCGCUAUGGGGCAAGCCAGGUAGCCUGCAGCCUACCCCUCGGGCACGGCUGGCGGAGUCUCAGUGCCCGGCGGACAGGCCUGGACUGGCGCUGUGCCGAAGGAGACGUGCGGUCAUGGGCAUGCUUUCCCCAGCGGCGUUUCUGCGUUCGCUGCGUUGCAGCGAUGAUGCCGGGCGCGAUCCUGGACUGAGCCUGCGCUGCAUGCGGUGGAAUGGCAAUGAGCUCAACGACGCCCCACAGCGCUGAUUGGCCUGGUGCCUUGGCGUAGCCGCAGUGCAGCCGGGCCAGGGCGAACUACGGCUGUGCAUCCGCAAUCUUUGCUGUCAUGCUCAUGGCAGAGCGGGCACGCUGAAAGGAAAAAAAAACAUUUUUUGGUUCUCUGUGAUUACAUGUCUAUGUGUAUGUGUGUUACCCCCCCCCUCCCUUGUUCUUCCAUCUUUCAUUGCACGCCCCGCUGAUGCUGUGUGUGAAGAGCGGCAAGACGGCAGCAGCAAGUGCUCCAGCGGGCGAACGAUACCGCUGCUCCCCCGCCUCUGUCUGUCAUGAUUAUUUCCUAUUCAUCCCUUUCGUUUUGCGGUCUCGUGUCUUCCUCUUGCUGUCGGCUUACCAGGCAGCAACUCAUACACCACCCCACCACCGACUCUCCGGUUUUGUGGCUCUGCUCGGAGGCCUGCAUGUUCGACGAGGCGUAUCGUCGACUGCGUUUACACGCCCGAUGAGGACGUCCAUAAACAAACGGUGCACACUCCCCUCCCCUUCCCCCCCCUUGUGUGUUACGCUCCUCAUCCUCGCGUGCCCCGCACGGCUGCUAUUCCACUUUGUUUUAUUAUUCCGGUGUGUUCGUUUCCUUUUUUGCUCUCCCCUCCCCUCGCUCGCCACCACCACCCCUGGCGGCCCUAUUCGCAUUGUUGUACGUUUGGUUGCUGUUGUUGUGCCGUUGUCUGUGUUCUCUUGUCUUCCUUGUCGUGGGAUUCUCUCUUGCUGGCUUGCGCCGCGCUCUCCCUCCCUCUCUCCCUCUGUGUGUGCCGGUGUGUGGAUGAUGUACACACGUGCAUGUGUAUGGUAUGGGCAUGUAUUAGGUGUAUGUGUGCGCGUAAGGCUGCCGGUAUUUCUCUUGUCUAUGUACCCUGCCGGUGCCGCUCUCCAAGGCACAGCGGUGCAAUCGAGCAAAGGGCAAUAAGGCAACGGCCGCAUCGACGCUCAGCUGCUAUCCCUCCUCUCCUUUUCUGCCACUUGAGGGUAAGGGAGGCCAUCGCAUUCGUUCGCCACGCAGCGGACACAUCGGACAAAAAAAAAACGCGGAUCGCACGCGUAGCGGAACAAGGGUCACAGAGGAUGCAAUGAAAUGAUCGACGUGAUGGCCGCACAUGCUCACCAUCAUCGUCGGUCUCCCCCUGCAGCAACAUGGUCCGCCGGUGCCACUCUUACACAUAAUGCCUUCCUCUUCUCGUAUCAUACGCCUUUCCCUCAGCACUUCG
rnacentral:misc_RNA from 1 species